AGUGAACGCUGGCGGUAGGCCUAACACAUGCAAGUCGAUCGGCAGCACAGUAAGAGCUUGCUCUUACGGGUGGCGAGUGGCGGACGGGUGAGGAAUACAUCGGAAUCUACUUUUUCGUGGGGGAUAACGUAGGGAAACUUACGCUAAUACCGCAUACGACCUACGGGUGAAAGCAGGGGAUCUUCGGACCUUGCGCGAUUGAAUGAGCCGAUGUCGGAUUAGCUAGUUGGCGGGGUAAAGGCCCACCAAGGCGACGAUCCGUAGCUGGUCUGAGAGGAUGAUCAGCCACACUGGAACUGAGACACGAUCCAGACUCCUACGGGAGGCAGCAGUGGGGAAUAUUGGACAAUGGGCGCAAGCCUGAUCCAGCCAUACCGCGUGGGUGAAGAAGGCCUUCGGGUUGUAAAGCCCUUUUGUUGGGAAAGAAAAGCAGCAGGUUAAUACCCCGCUGUUCUGACGGUACCCAAAGAAUAAGCACCGGCUAACUUCGUG
rnacentral:rRNA from 1 species